rnacentral:rRNA from 1 species
UACAGAGGUUUCAAGCGUUGUUCGGAUUCAUUGGGCGUAAAGGGUGCGUAGGCGGCGGGGUAAGUCUGGUGUGAAAUCCCGGGGCUCAACCUCGAAACUGCACUGGAUACUGCCUUGCUUGAGUACUGGAGAGGAGAUUGGAAUUUACGGUGUAGCAGUGAAAUGCGUAGAUAUCGUAAGGAAGACCAGUGGCGAAGGCGGUUCUCUGGACAGUUACUGACGCUGAGGCACGAAGGCCUGGGGAGCAAACGGG